UCCUUUAUUAAGUUGAUUUUCUCAGGUAUUUUGUCUCAGCGACACUUUCACAGCAUUGUACUGUACAGUUAAAAAAAGUAUUGCCCAUCAUAAAUUGGGGCCUCUCCAUAGCAAUGACAAAGGCAGAGACUACAGAUGGCUGAAGAAAGGGAAGAAUAUUAGCUUUCCACCAUUCACCAUCAUACUUAAGGGUAGAGAUAGAUAGGUAGGUAGGUAGAUAGAUAGAUAGAUGCAUGUCCACAGUAAGGAGCUCCUGUAGACACAGUGCUGCUCAGACUAACCAUUUUACAUUGUGAACAAUAUCAAAAUGCCUCUGCAUAGCAAGGACAGCCAAGCAUAAGUGCCACAUGAGCUGAUGCUGCUGGCACAUCCUCACACUUUUCCAUACAUGGAAUGACUCACAAGAUUCUAACGUGGAGGUGGCAAAAUAAUGGAUGGCUCUUACUUUGGGAGUUGGCUUUGGCCUUUUAUAGAUGAAAGAAUGUGCUAAUGGCAACUGCUGCUCUCUUUCGGAACAGAGUGCAGUGGUAGAGCCAAUUACCAGCUACUUUAGUGAAAAACAGUAAUAAUAAAUAAAAGGCAAUGCUGUGAUUUAUCCUCAGCCAUGACUUCUAUCUUUUCAUCAGAACAGUAAUGUACUAAAAUCUCUGGUUAUUUUUCUUGCAGUGUUGGAAUGGAGGGUGACUAAAAGUAGAAGUGAAUGAUCUUUAAGGAUAACUCUUCUCCGUUCCUUGGAAGCGUGGCCUCCUGUGCACAGCUCUCUUUUUGCUCUUCACGGUCAUUGAAUGCAUACUCACCGCCAGGCCUGUCCAUAACAUUUCAUGGCCUCGGGGCAAAAGUACAAAUAAAAGGUCAUGUCCCAGUGUCUAAAUAGUUAAGUUAUAAAUCAAGUUAACAAUCUGCUAAAUAAAACAUUCUGUCAUUCUACCUUGACAGAUUUACCUCAAAGUGUUCUAGAAUUUUUGGAUUCCUUGGAACCUUGUACCAGAACAUUCUACCUGUACCCCACUAUGCCUUCUAUUCUACUUUCAAUAGAUACUGCCAUUCCGAGAGGGAACCUACAUUCACACAUGAGCACACUCUAUCCAUAACUC
rnacentral:lncRNA from 1 species